GUGCAGUGAUGCAGAUACAUCAACACAUCAUUCUGAAAAGACAGAUGUGUAGAAAAUAAAUGACUGAGCACA
rnacentral:snoRNA from 15 species